UCCAGACUCUCCACCUUCCCUAGAGAAGAACUUCCAGAGAGAGAGAGAGAGAGAGAGAGGAGAGGAGAAGACGAAGUUGUAGAGAAGACGAGCGUGCGUUUGCGAUUUGCCUUUGCUCUCACCGAUCAAGAAAUUACUAGUUUCGUUCAUCUUCAUAUCAUGUGUUGCGCGAUUUAUGGGUCUCCUCUAACCUUCUUCUAAGGACCACAGAGUAAAGGUGAAGGUUCUCUCUGUUUCUCGCUCAGAAAUCCUGGAUGAGGUGUUUUUCGGUGAAGGUUGCGAUGGUGAAGCUUCGAGUUCUGAGAUAGGAGCAAUCGAUGAGUUGGUUACUACCCUAAUCCUUUGAAUUAAACACUGUUGUGAUUGUGAGAAAGUGAUAUGGACAGCAUAUGCAGAUGUGGAAUAAAACACAACAUUAUGGUGCUGUUAAGAUGAUUUGAAAAUCUUGAUUCUAGUUUGAGAAUGAUUAGAGUCGGUCUUGGUUAUGGAAUAAAAGGUGAGAGUAUACUCGUUUGUUUCCCAUUAUCACUACUGCUGACUGAUACCAUGAUUUUUGAACCAUUUUUAUCUAGUUUCUCACCUUAUGUAUUGCACAACUUUCAAUCUCAUGGAUAGUCAAUUUAUUAGUUGCAGAUGGUUCAGACAUUGAUAUCCUAUCUUUUGAUAGUCUUGAUUCUGGUGUCCCUUUGUUGUUGCAGUCCUGUCUUUGUUUUGUUUUUGCGGUGCUUUUUCUGGUGUUUUGCUGCUGCAGUUCUCGAUUUGCAAGCUGUUAUGUUCCUCCUCUCGUUGUUCUUGUUGCAGCAGGCCCCCUUGCUGUCACAACGCUGUUUUUGCUGCGUGUUUUUGCUGUGUUUAUGCUGUUUUAGCUGCUGCAAUUCUGCAAUUUAAGCUGUCCUCUUGCUGGAAUUAUUGCAGUAGGCUGGAGGUCAUGGCGUUUUUACUGUGGAGGUCUUGAAGUAGGAAAAGGCAGCCUUCUUGUUGUUUUGUUUGUUUCAAGUCUUUCCUUGUAUUUUGUUUUGAGUUUUGUUUGUGUGUUGUUUGAUGUAGUUCUUCUUCUUUUCUUUUUGUUGCUAUUAUGUUUUAAUCUGUACUGGAACUUGGGCUUGACCCCUUUAUUUAUAUAUCAAUUUGGUUUUCCAAGAAAAAAAAUAGUAGCAGAUGGGUAUCCUGGUAUUGGUGUUAGUAAUUUGGGCUUAUUUCAUCUCUUUUGGGUAGUAACACCAGCUGUUUGGUGAUAUGCCUGAGAGAGGGGGA